rnacentral:rRNA from 14 species
GCUUAAGGCCACACCGCCUGGUUCACGCCCAAUCUCGUUUGAUCUCGGAAGCUAAGAUAGGUUGGGCCUGGUUAGGACUUGGAUGGGAGACUGCCUG